CCCACUCCAGUGUUCUUGCUUGGAGAAUCCCAGGGAUGGGGGAGUUUGGUGGGCUGCCGUCUAUGGGGUCGCACAGAGUCGGACAGGACUGACGUGACUUAGCAGCAGCAGCAGAUCAGAUAGAGUCUUGUAAAGCAUGGAAUUCUUUCCAGAAGAGUUGGGAGGCCCCACUUAAAUUUUGCAAGGAAUAUUCAGGUGGCCAUAUGUGAACAGGCCAUAGAGGAGUGAGAAUGGAAGAGUGCAGGUAAGAAGCUGUUACAGGGAUGGAGAGAGGUGGUGGAAAUAGUAGAUUUGGGGGACCUAAUUUGAAGAUAGAGCCAACAGGUAAUCUCUGGAAAUUCAAUUAACUAUCAAGAAGAAAAAAGAUUUUAUUCAAGCCAGAGGAUUAUAAGGGAGAAGCAGAUUCUCAGAAAGCUCUGAGAGCCCUUAAUACCUAUUAGAAGUCAAAGGCAUAGUAGGUACAUUUUCAAGACAGAGAAUUGUACAUCAAAAUGACAUACUGAUGUUUUACAGAGUUCACCAAGGAUACACAACCCAGGUGCUAUUUCUAUGAAAUUUCUCAAGGCUGUGAAAGUACAUUAUUAGAAAUUCCCACUACACAGGAGGAGAAGGGGAUGACAGAGGAAGAGAUGGUUGGAUGGCAUCACUGACUCAAUGGACAUGCAUUUGAGUAAGCUCCAGGAGUUGGUGAAGGACAGGGAAGCCUGGCGUGCUGCAGUCCAUGGGUUCGCAAAGAGUUGGACAUGACUGGAUGACUGAACUGAACUGGAUUCAGUGUGUGUUCACUCCAACAGCUGGGAGGGGCUUGAUCACUUUGCUUAGCUAAGCUGGAGGCUCUCUGACCUUAAAAGACUACUUGAACCUCAUCUGAGUGUACUUUUUUGACCCCUUCACCAGAUAACCCCACAGAUCUAGGGCAGGGUGUCUGGGGGCAGAUCCCAGGAAGAGAAUCCUAGCACAGACACUAAGGGGCAAGGAGCAAAGAUACAACUGCUGAAAAUAACUAUUCUCCAUUUGAACAACAGCUCCAGAUCUGCUGCUGGACACUGGUAGAGACCAAAUACCAGACCCCACAAGAGUAUGUGAGCUGAGCUGCGUGCCUCACUACAUUGUCCAGGGGAGGUUGAUGUGGACGAUGAUGCCAGCCUUGAGCACAUCUCUGGAGCACAAGGAAGUCACAUGAACGUGUGGCUGAGACUCUAGGACACCUCCUCUGCCCCCCAAGCCCCCCACUCCCCACAGCGACGGCCUUAGGAGAUUCUCUGUGGGCAGAAGAGUGCCAACCUAGGACCCAGAUGAUUGUCCCUGAAUGUCCGUAUCAGCUUUACUCAUAAUGACUAAAGAUGGAAACAACCCAAAUGUCCACGAACAGAUGGAGCGUAACAAAUGGUGGCACGUCCAUGCAAGGGACUCAGCAACAAACAAAGAACCGCUAAGACACGCAGCAACCUGGACGAGUCUCGAAAGCAUUAUGCGAAAGAAAAGAAGCCAGACGCAGAAGGGGACAUGCUGCAUGCCUCCACCUAUCUGAGAUUCCAGGCCAGGCAAAGUGAAUUUACGCUGACAGAAAACAGACCCUCAGUGGCCUGCCAGGGUGUGGACGGGGCUGACCGCAGGAGGCACGGUGGAAAGGAACUGUAAUUUGAUUGUGAUGGUUGGUUACAAGGGUGUAUGUUUGCCAAAAUUCAUUAAACUGCACACUUAAAA